GACCUACACCCCUCAAAUAUCGAAAAACAUACGGUUAAAUAGAUACUGAGUUGGUCUAACCUAGGUCGGUCGCARACAUUUGUUGAAAGCUUUCAAACUAUGAUUUGGUUCUUUUUGGGCUAUUAGCUCAGGUGGUUAGAGCGCACCCCUGAUAAGGGUGAGGUCCCUGGUUCGAGUCCAGGAUGGCCCACCUGAAAGUAAUUAGUAAUUGCUAAUUCGUAAUUCGUAAUUAACUACGAAUUAAGAAUUACGAAUUACGAAUUAUAAUCUGGGGGUUUAGCUCAGUUGGUAGAGCGCCUGCUUUGCAAGCAGGAUGUCAGCGGUUCGAGUCCGCUAACCUCCACCUGUAGCGAUUGCCAGAAUAAAAGACUAGUGAGAGUUCAGCAACAUGACAAAAUGAUUGUCAGACUGCUGAGUGAGUUCUCAGCCAGAACCUUGAAAACUGCAUAGUAACGCGAAAUUAGCAGGCAGACACAGACAUUGAGAGUUCUAAGUGCUGAAUGCUGAGUACUGAGUCAAAUCAGUGCAAAGUGAGGAAGUAAGGAGAACUAACAAAAGAAGUGAAUGCAAAUGUAACACCAAA
rnacentral:tRNA from 1 species